UGGGGUAUCGCCAAGCGGUAAGGCACCGGUUUUUGAUACCGGCNCCGGCAUUCCGAGGUUCGAAUCCUCGUACCCCAGCCA
rnacentral:tRNA from 1 species